ensembl:snRNA U6 U6 spliceosomal RNA
GUGCUGCUUGAUUAGGCGACACAUAUACUAAAAUUAGAAUAAUACAGAGAAGAUUAGCAUGCCCCCCCCCCGUGAAAGGAUGACACACAAGUUUUUGAAGUAUUUUAUAUGUAC